rnacentral:rRNA from 1 species
UACCAGUUUUUCCUGGCAGCCAUAGCGAUACGGUACCACCUGACUCCAUUCCGAACUCAGAAGUGAAACGUAUUAGCGCCGAUGGUAGUGUGGGGUUUCCCCAUGUGAGAGUAGGACACUGCCAGGU